AUUGAACGCUGGCGGCAUGCUUUACACAUGCAAGUCGAACGGCAGUGCGGGCUUCGGCCUGGCGGCGAGUGGCGAACGGGUGAGUAAUACAUCGGAACGUGCCCAGUAGUGGGGGAUAGCUCGGCGAAAGCCGGAUUAAUACCGCAUACGACCUGAGGGUGAAAGCGGGGGAUCUUCGGACCUCGCGCUAUUGGAGCGGCCGAUGGCAGAUUAGCUAGUUGGUGGGGUAAAGGCCUACCAAGGCGACGAUCUGUAGCUGGUCUGAGAGGACGACCAGCCACACUGGGACUGAGACACGGCCCAGACUCCUACGGGAGGCAGCAGUGGGGAAUUUUGGACAAUGGGCGAAAGCCUGAUCCAGCAAUGCCGCGUGUGUGAUGAAGGCCUUCGGGUUGUAAAGCACUUUUGGCGGGAACGAAAAGGACUGUGCCAAUACCACGGUUCGAUGACGGUACCCGCAGAAUAAGCACCGGCUAACUAUGUG
rnacentral:rRNA from 1 species